UACAGAGGUCUCAAGCGUUGUUCGGAUUCAUUGGGCGUAAAGGGUGUGUAGGUGGCGCCGUAAGUCGGGUGUGAAAUUUCGGAGCUUAACUCCGAAACUGCAUUCGAUACUGCGGUGCUUGAGGACUGGAGAGGAGACUGGAAUUCUCGGUGUAGCAGUGAAAUGCGUAGAUAUCGAGAGGAACACCAGUGGCGAAGGCGAGUCCCUGGACAAAACCUGACACUGAGGCACGAAAGCUAGGGGAGCAAACAGG
rnacentral:rRNA from 1 species